GACGAACGCUGGCGGCGUGCUUAACACAUGCAAGUCGAACGGUGAAGCGCCUUCCUUUUUGGUGGGUGUGGAUGAGUGGCGAACGGGUGAGUAACACGUGAGUAACCUGCCCCCUUCUUCUGGAUAACCGCAUGAAAGUGUGGCUAAUACGGGAUAUUCUGGGUCUGUCGCAUGAUGGGUCUGGGAAAGAUAUUGUUUCGGUGGGGGAUGGGCUCGCGGCCUAUCAGCUUGUUGGUGGGGUGAUGGCCUACCAAGGCGGUGACGGGUAGCCGGCCUGAGAGGGUGGAGGGUCACACUGGGACUGAGACACGGCCCAGACUCCUACGGGAGGCAGCAGUGGGGAAUAUUGCACAAUGGGCGCAAGCCUGAUGCAGCGACGCCGCGUGGGGGAUGGAGGCCUUCGGGUUGUGAACCUCUUUCGCCAGUGAAGCAGGCCUGCCUCGUUUGUGGGUGGGUUGACGGUAGCUGGAUAAGAAGCGCCGGCUAACUACGUG
rnacentral:rRNA from 1 species